AGAACAACAUGACCACUGGCAUCUACCUCAGGCUGAGAACAACACUGACUGAAACUGUAAUGGACUGAAUCCAAAGACAUCAGCACCUUGAUGUUACGCAGGCUUGAAUAUCACCAGCAGCUCUGAGCGAGGUCUGUUCAGGAGGAGCACCACCUACCUGGCUAAGAUCUCUGUCGUCCUGCAAGACGCUCCAGGCAAGAUGCUCACUUUUACUCAGUUGAUGGACAGACUGGCUCCAUGUAAUCUCUGAAGACAAAAGAUCUGUUGAGAACAACAUCAGAGUUUGUUUAUCAACCAACAAAUGUUUUGUCAAGAUCUGCGCCUCUUCCCUGAGUUGGCCUCCAAAGUGGAAACGGAGAACACGAGCAGACCAUCCGAGCACUGCUCAGCUGUUCCCUCUCCUGAACCUGUAGCCUGCAGAGCUGUUCAGAUCAAAUGUGAGGUGAAGUUCAGCAGUCCUUUCUCCAUUGAAUCCCUGCUGAAGAGAGACAGUGCCUCUGCUCGGGCCUCCAGAGCUUCUCCUCUGUCCAGUGUGCCGCUCAAAGUGGAGCAGCAGCCUCGCUCCACACACAGACCAGUUUGGACAAAGAGGAGCUUCAGCUGGGACUCUGAGGAGCCUCUCCUCCUACAAGCUUCAGCUGGAAGUUCCCCAAUCUGCUCAACAGGGGGCAGCACACACCAUGGACUCAGUGCUGAUGGAGCUGCUCAGCCCAUCAGGAUGCAUGUGUGCACUGAGUCCUCAUUCCCUGUCUACACAAGAGCCAGUGCUGCUCCUUAUUUCACCAGCCCACACAGCAGUUACAUCACUUAUCCUGUACCCGCAUUUACCCAUGAUGCUCUCCGUUUCUAUAUGUGAUGUGUUUGGUACAAUGACGUACCAGGUUUCUGCAGCACUUUAUGUUUUAUAAUAAAAUGUAAAAAUAA
rnacentral:lncRNA from 1 species